UACCAGCACCCCGAGUAGUCGGGACGAUCAUUGGGCCUAAAGCAUCCGUAGCCGGUCUAACAAGUCCUCCGUUAAAUCCAACGGUUCAACCGUUGGGCUGCGAGGGAUUCUGUUAGACUAGGGGGCGGGAGAGGCGAGGGGUAUUCCCAGGGUAGGGUAAAAUCCACUGAUCCUGGGAGGACCACCAGUGGCGAAGGCGCCUCGCUAGAACGCGCCCGACGGUGAGGGAUGAAAGCUAGGGGAGCGAACCUG
rnacentral:rRNA from 1 species